ACGCCGAAGGUGGGGCUGAUGACUGGGGUGAAGUCGUAACAAGGUAGCCGUACCGGAAGGUGCGGCUGGAUCACCUCCUAACAGGGAGACAAUAAAUAGAUUGUGAUGUCUAAGUUUUUUAUUCUUAGGCCGCAAUCCUGUCACCUUAAGGUCGAUCGGUAUCUCAGGUUUUGGAUUAAUUUAUAGUUAAUUCUUGAUUUCAGUUCCUAAACUUGUCUAGGUCACACCCAACAAAGGUUUCUCCUGGGCCAUUAGCUCAGGUGGUUAGAGCGCACCCCUGAUAAGGGUGAGGUCCCUGGUUCAAGUCCAGGAUGGCCCAUUCGCUGUUGGGGGUAUAGCUCAGUUGGUAGAGCGCCUGCUUUGCAAGCAGGAUGUCAGCGGUUCGAGUCCGCUUACCUCCACUGAUAACUAUCCUGCUAACUAAAUUUCCGGAGAAAAAAUUGUAGAUGUGGCUUAGAAUUGUCUACUUGAAAAGAACCUAGCUUCUUAUCAUCUUUUAAAAGUUGAUAACAUGCUGGGCUCCCAUGGAUUUAUUCCUUGAGAAUUCAGUAGAACCUUGAAAACUGCAUAGAUAAGAAAGAAUAAAGCAUCUCAUGGAUGCAUAAUUCUGUUUUGAUUUUUUUAGUUUAAUAACUAAGAAUUAUCAACUAUUAGAAUUCAUGUUUAAUUCUUGAGUAAAAGCCGAGCACAAUUGAUUUUGUGAUUGUAUUUAAGGUCAAGCUACAAAGGGCUCAUG
rnacentral:misc_RNA from 1 species